GAUGAACGCUGACAGCAUGCUUAACACAUCAGCAAUUGAUUGGUGGCGGACGGGUGAGUAACGCGUAAGGCACUUGCCUCGCAGCUAGGGACAACAUUUGGAAACGAAUGCUAAUACCUAAUACUGUGAGAGAGCUUUGCGUCCCAUUAGCUAGUUGGCGAGGUAACGGCUCACCAAGGCGAGGAUGGGUAGCCGGACUGGGAGGGUGAUCGGCCACAGAGGGACUCGGGAGCGGCCCUUACUGCUACGGGAGGCAGCAGUGGGGAAUAUUGGACAAUGGACCAAAGUAUGAUCCAGCAAUUCGGUGUGCACGAUGAAGUUUUCGGAAGGUAAAUUGCUUUCAGUUGGAAAGCGGUACCAACAGAAGAAGUGACGGCUAAAUACGUGCCAGCCGCCGCGGUAAUAC
rnacentral:rRNA from 1 species